CCUACGGGCGGCAGCAGUGAGGAAUAUUGGUCAAUGGCCGGAAGGCUGAACCAGCCAAGCCGCGUGAAGGACGAAGGUGCCAAGCAUUGUAAACUUCUUUUGUCAAGGGACAAAAUCAGGCUCGAGAGCCUGACCGAGGGUACUUGAAGAAAAAGCAUCGGCUAACUCCGUGCCAGCAGCCGCGGUAAUAGGGGGGAUGCGAGCGUUAUCCGGAUUUAUGGGGUUAAAAGGGUGCGUAGGGGGACUGUUAAGUCAGCGGUAAAAGCCCGGGGCUCAACCCCGGCGAGCCGUUGAAACGGGCUGUCUUGAGAUGUCGAGAGGUAUGCGGAAUGCGCAGUGUAGCGGUGAAAUGCUUAGAUAUUGCGCAGAACUCCGAUGGCGAAGGCAGCAUACCGGCGGCGAUCUGACGCUGAGGCACGAAAGCGUGGGUAUCGAACAGGAUUAGAUACCCCUGUAGUC
rnacentral:rRNA from 1 species